AGAGUUUGAUCCUGGCUCAGAACGAACGCUGGCGGCGUGCUUAACACAUGCAAGUCGAACGUGAUCCGGAGCUUGCUCCGGUGAAAGUGGCGCACGGGUGAGUAACGCGUGGAUAAUCUGCCCUGGUAUCUGGGAUAACAUCUCGAAAGGGGUGCUAAUACCGGAUAAGCCUACGGUCUCUUCGGAGUCUGCAGGAAAAGGUGGCCUCUAUUUAUAAGCUACCGUAUCAGGAUGAGUCCGCGUACCAUUAGCUAGUUGGUGGGGUAAUGGCCCACCAAGGCUACGAUGGUUAGCUGGUCUGAGAGGAUGAUCAGCCACACUGGAACUGAGACACGGUCCAGACUCCUACGGGAGGCAGCAGUGGGGUAUUUUGCGCAAUGGGGGAAACCCUGACGCAGCAACGCCGCGUGAGUGAUGAAGGCUUUCGGGUCGUAAAGC
rnacentral:rRNA from 1 species